rnacentral:lncRNA from 1 species
AAAUCAUUGAUCUUGCCAAUCUUAUUCAUUCUUUACAUGAAGAAACUAAGGUCUAGAGACACAAAGUGCUUUAUCAACGACAUCACUGGCCUUUCCAUAUACCCACCCUUUGCUUACCUCUCAUUGUUAUGCGUUGUUUAUCUUGUUGCUUCUCUUGUAAAAAGAUUGGCAUUUUUUCCUCUCAAGGCAAAACACCAAAAAUCCCGGGAGUUUUGGAAAGAGAAGAAACACAAAUCCUAGUCAUCCUCAGCUACUUAAAUGAAAGCAAGUUUGGCAGGAAAACGUAUAAAUGAAAAAUGCCAAAACCCUAACUUCAAAUUUAGGUUUAGAUUCCAAGAACUUCUCAACUUGACUCUUAAAAGAAUUGCUUGUAAUCCUAUCAUUCCAUCUGCCAGGCUUAUGAUGGCAAUGGUACGAGCAAUAAAAUAGUCAUAGGGUAUGCGAGGGAAAAGAGAAUUCAUAUGAAAAUCCAACAGCCUGGUUCUAGAUAAUUGGGAGUUGACUGUAAACACCUCCACCGCCAUACAGCAACUUUGGCCCUUGGAUAAAAACAUUUUCAUGGCAAAUCGUUUCACUUUAGGAAAAUUGUAUCUACUUUCAACAACUGGAGGGUUGUUUCCCCCACAUGAUUUUCAGGCUAGUAAAAAAUGUGAAUAAUGAUUAUGUGCAGCACAGAAAAUACAAUUUCUGUUUGGCACAGGAUUAGGUACUCGUGGCAUUGAAUGCCUACUUUAUCAAGUUUGUCUUCAUUAUUCUGUGAAGAAACUCCUACUCCAUCUCCUGCUCCUGAGAAUGAAACUCCAUACUCCAUUACUUCCUUUCCUUCAUCAUAAUAAAACUGCUGUUAAAGGGCAGUCACAUAUUUAAACUAAAUUAAACCUUUUUAAAAUAUUGAAUAGUGAGCACUUGAUAUUCCCCAAAGCUAUGUUUCUAAAAUCUUCACUAAUGUUCAAAUUGUGGGGUAUUAUUUGAUGGUAAAAGUAAAUUUAGAACUGGCUUGUAAAUGUGUUUUGUUGGGCCUUCAGAGGGCUGACAUUAAAAAAAAAAAAA